rnacentral:rRNA from 1 species
GAUGAACGCUGGCGGCGUGCUUAACACAUGCAAGUCGAACGGGAAAUAUUUCAUUGAGACUUCGGUGGAUUUGAACUAUUUCUAGUGGCGGACGGGUGAGUAACGCGUGGGUAACCUGCCUUAUACAGGGGGAUAACAGUCAGAAAUGGCUGCUAAUACCGCAUAAGCGCACAGAGCUGCAUGGCUCAGUGUGAAAAACUCCGGUGGUAUAAGAUGGACCCGCGUUGGAUUAGCUUGUUGGUGGGGUAACGGCCCACCAAAGCGACGAUCAGUAGCCGACCUGAGAGGGUGACCGGCCACAUUGGGACUGAGACACGGCCCAGACUCCUACGGGAGGCAGCAGUGGGAAUAUUGCACAAUGGGGGAAACCCUGAGUGCAGCGACGCCGCGUGGAGGAAGAAGGUCUUCGGAUUGUAAACUCCUGUUGUUGAGGAAGAUAAUGACGGUACUCAACAAGGAAGUGACGGCUAACUACGUGCCAGCAGCCG